rnacentral:rRNA from 1 species
GUCCUACGGGGGGCAGCAGUGGGGAAUAUUGCACAAUGGGGGAAACCCUGAUGCAGCAACGCCGCGUGAGUGAAGAAGUAUUUCGGUAUGUAAAGCUCUAUCAGCAGGGAAGAAAAUGACGGUACCUGAGUAAGAAGCCCCGGCUAACUACGUGCCAGCAGCCGCGGUAAUACAUAGGGGGCAAGCGUUAUCCGGAAUUAUUGGGUGUAAAGGGUGCGUAGACGGAGAAACAAGUUGGUUGUGAAAUCCCUCGGCUCAACUGAGGAACUGCAACCAAAACUAUUUCCCUUGAGUGUCGGAGAGGA